AUUAUCAUCUUCAGUUUUGAAAGACUUAAAAAAGUUUUUCAUUUUUUUUAAGGUUCAUAGAUAAAAAAAGGGGGCCUAUAGCUCAGUUGGUUAGAGCACACGCCUGAUAAGCGUGAGGUCGAUGGUUCAAGUCCAUUUAGGCCCACCAAAAACUUAAAUAUUAAAAAUAAACUCUUUGAAAAUUAGAUAAACUAAAAUUAAAUUAA
rnacentral:misc_RNA from 1 species